UUGUAGGAGGCUUUCUCUCUCUGCGAUCAAAAGGUUAUUGAGCUGGUCGACAAUCCUUCUAUACUGCAAAUCGAUAUGGUUUGGUGUUAUUUCAUGCUUAGAGACAUCAACUGGCUCUCAGUGGCAGGAAUUCGCCUUGAGAAAGCCAGAGAAGGUCUUGAACAAGCUCAUGGAAGGACUCUUCUCUCGUGUUAGACUCCUUCAGGCAGGUCGCUAUCCAGAGUGUGCACUAUAUUUGAGACUGGAGCUGCGGGAACGGUGGUGGCGUAUCACAGUGGUCAGGUUGAUAAGUCAAUGAAGGUGUUGACUUCUGCACAAGAUUCACCCAGGAGAAGUAAACGACAGCGCCAAGCAGUAGAUGCUUCAGUUGAAGCUCUUGUACGCAUGGGCUUUGACAGAUCAUUAGCGGUCGAAGCUUUGCUGGGUGGAGGGAGAACGGACCAAACAAUCUGUCGACUGCUCUCGGGACAGGCACCAAACCUCACAAAUGCUGCUAACCAAUCUGAGGCAAUUUCUGCAGUCGAUGCUAACAACAAUAGCCAACACUACUAGAAUUAUGGCCUCAGACAUCGGCCAAAAACCGAUGAGAAAAAGAAUUCCGACCGAUGUGUUAGUGGGUGAUGAGAAAGG